rnacentral:lncRNA from 10 species
GGGGAAUAAAUGCACGAAGUGCUGCUGCUUAGCCUUUCUCAGCCUGUGGAUCUUCCCUCAUCUGUUUUGAAGACAGGGUGAAGAUUAGGCAGGCAGUGAGCCCAGCUGUCUUAGGGAGAAUCCCUAAGGGGAGAUGCCUGUCAAUUGAAACAAACAAAUUUUUGGAUACCAAUAUGGAAACCUGGAUGGAGCCAAUUUCCAUGCUACAACACUGCCAUUAUGACUGAGCACAUCAGGAUAACAGGAAGCAGAUGGCUUUCAGAAAAAAAUGAAAAAUUCAAGGGCACCACACAUAUGGUCUUAUUUCCCAAACUUUGAAGGAAUUCUGCCUGUGAAAGUGUACCUGUUUAAUCUCUCCCAAGUAAAAGCCCUUCUGCCUUGCUCUUGGUGACUUCUCAAACCCCGUCUUCUUUCAGUGGUAAUCAUGAUGAUGAUGAUGUUGAUGAUAAGCAUUGGCUAAUAACAGGUCACAGUUGUUCUGAAAAGAGACCUGAGACCAGAGACCUGCCUGAGCUCGAAAGCUUGCCUGCAGCCAAGGACUGAUGUGGGGUGUGAAUGUCCAGCCCCCACGCCACAAAUCAGAGAUGAAGCUCUUCUUAUAGACCCCAUUAUUUGCUAUUCUCUGAGCCUGCAAAGAAAAGCAAGACAAAUAUAGUUAUUCCUUCCCGUCCACCCUAUCCCAGCCUACAGUGGGGAGACAAGUGAUGACAAUGCAGCGUGGUGAAUGUUGCAAAGCGGGGAGCUCCAGAUGCCUUGAGAGGCUGCAUCUUGCCUGGAUUUGGGGUUCUUCUGGAUCCAGGAAAGGAAGACCUUCGGGAGCCAGGAAUGUCUGAACUGAGGGACAAGUCAGAUUUGGGUGGAAAGUAUUUCUGGUAGAGGAUACAUUCUCAAAAGUCAGGGAGCAAUAAAAAACACAAAUUCAUUAAGGCAUUAAAAAUGUUUGAAAUGGACAGAACAUAGUAAAUAUAGGGUAAUGGGGAUGCUGAGGGAUCAGGCUAUAUCCACAAGGGAAAAAAAGCAAACAGCAUGGGAUUUUUGCUUCUGCAAGAUCACACUGGCUGCAAUGUGGAGGAUAGGAUAGGAGUGUGGCAAAAACAGAGCCCUAGAGACCAUAUAAGAAGGUGUUGCCAAUUUUUGAGGUAAGAUGAUGGUGGCCUGAAAUAGUGGAGAUGCAGAAAAAGGAAUAGAAUCAUUUUUUUCAAGUUUAUGCUGGGAGCUUACUUAUUUGGAAGUAGAACAUCUGACAGCCCUCUCCUUGGUUUGUGACAAUUUCUUUUCUCAAGAAGUAGAGGAAGCAAGGAGGGGUGCUGUUCCUUUGGAUUUAAUUCUAACCAAUAUAGAAGAAACAAUUGAUGCUAUGGUGACUGCUCCUGUGGAAAGCUGUAGUGGUUUAGCUAACUAGCCAGCCAAAAAAAGCUAGCCAAGACUCAAUAUGCAUGCUUAGAAACCUAUCCAGAAAUAGAGAAUUUCCUCUAUUAUUGAAUAACUUUGGUUCUAGAAGUGUGUAUGUAAGUCUGUUUAUUAUUCUCAUAUUUGAAAUAACACUAUGCAAUGUUUGUUGUUGUUGGAGCUCAGAGGUGACACAGUUUUGGUGUGACCUUUGUUUUUGUAUAGGGAGAUUAAUAAAUGUCAUACAGGGGUACUAUCAUUUAAUAAAAGGUAAACUGGACAAAUGGAGUAUGCUUAGAACUGGACAACCAUGAUAAUAAAAGAAUGCUAAAACAUGUCAUCAAUUAAAAUAUUUUCGAGUAGGGGCUGUGAGUAAGGCACUGUUCAAGGAGAGGAAGACAGUGGUGAAUCAGAUAGACUUAAUUCUAUAGUCACGGAAUUAUAUGGGGAUCAGUUAAAGAAAGUGGAGCAUGGAUAAGAGACAAGCAUAAGAUUCAAUUUUGAUGAGCUACAAUGCUGUCAUGUGGAACAGGGAUCCAAUAAAUUCUGUAAGACUUUAUAAAGUAAAAUUAGAGCCAAUGAGCAGAAUCUGGAAGAAGAGAAUUCCAACUCUCAAGGAGGAACAACUUUCUAAAAGCUCUGAUUGUAUAGUUGUGAGAUAAACUGAAUGAGGAGGUGUGGUAGUAGGUUCUUUGUUUCAAGUAACUGGAUGCACGUUUGCAAUGCAUUAUUUCAUUUAAACUUUAAACCACUUUAUGAGAUCAUUAUGAUUAUUAAUCUCAUUUUACAUUUGGGGCAGCUGAGGUUUAGUGACUGCACAGUUAGAACAUAGCAGAGCUACGACAUGACUUAACUGUGCUCUAGUCUCCUGUGAACUCUGCCACCUCCCUUGCUUAAUAAAAAGGCUGAAUAAAUGGUGGUCAAACGAUUCCUUCAAGUAAAGAAAGGGAGGGUGAACUACAGAGCUGUAAGGGUCUUCCUAAACUUUACAUUGAAUUAUUCUAGUUAUUUCUAGAAUAUGAGAAAUGUAAACUAAAAAUAUCCUUCAAAUAACAAAAUUAUAGAGAUGGUAGCACAGAUCAGCUGCUGCCAGGGCUUGGAGGAUGGGUGGUAGGUGCAUGUGCUUAUAAAGGGGAUUUUUGUGGUGAUGGAAUUGUUCUGUAUUUUGAUUGUGGUUGUCACAAGAAUCCACACAUGUGAUAAAAUUGCACAGAACUUAAUACACACACAUGAGUGCAUGUAAAACUGGAGAUACCAAAUUAAGGUGGAUGAAUGUCAAUGUUUGGUUGUGAUAUUGUAUAAUUAUGCAAGAUGUUGCUAUUGAGUGAGAUGACAUAAGGGUAUAUAUACCUCUAUGUAUUAUUUCUUACAACUAUAUGUAAAGCUAUAAUUAUCUCAAAAUAUAAAGUUAAAAAUGUAAAGAUAUAUUUGACUCAAGCACACAAGAAGGACUAUGUGAGCACUGGCUCUUUUCUUUCUUUUCCAACUUUCCUCCACCCUAGGAUCCUCCAAUGGGGGAAACCAGGAUUUAGUGCAUAAUGCUGUCCCUGUAUAUUCCCAGGAUCAAAUCUGACUAAGGUAUUUAUCCCAAAUUUCUGUGUCCUGGAGACAAUAAUUCCACUUGGUGCUUUUAUUCACAUUCUUCCACAACACAGGAAAAUGACCUCUGGAAAAUGUAUGCUGGGGGAUCACAAAAGCCCCAGUAUUUGCUGAUUUUAGUAAGUGGAACUAAGGAGAAAAAAUAUGCAUAAUCAAACCAUAAAAUUAGAUUCUUCAACAUUUUAUAAAUCCAGUAUUUGUGUGGUAGCUUGACUAAUAUCUCCAAAGAGAAUUGACUCAGACAUCCAACUUUUUGAAGAGCAUCAGAAGAAUGUUACAUUUUUUAUUUUAUUCCUCUAAUUAUAAAGGUAAUGCAUCUACCUUAUUUUAAGAAAGAAAAUAUAAAAAUUAUCUAUAGUUCCAUGACUCAAAUAUACAUACUGAUUUUUUUCAUCCUCUUAUUUUUCUUAAUCAGGACAUUUUUGAUUAUAAACGAUAGAUACUCAUUCACACUGGACAUGCUUCAGGUAUAACAAAACACAGGACUCAGAUGAUGUACUUAGGGCUCAUUUUCAGGCCCUUCAACUCCGGGCUCUGUUUGCUUGUGUGUAGGUUCCAUCCACAGGCAGGUUCUUCCCUCUUGGUUGCAAGAAUGGUUGCGCAGGUCCAGGCUUCUUUUUUACAUUUAGGCGAUGUUACAUAGAAAGAAAACUUCUUCCCGACAGCUCUAAUAAAGUCCCCAAAAUGAAGUAACUAACUUGGCUUGGCUGAGUCCAUUUUUAAACCAAUCACUAACCAAAUAGUUAAAUUGUACUUAUUUUCCAGGACUGGGUCACACACAUGAAAUCAGGGCAGGGGAUGAGGGUGUGGCAUCAGAGAGCUUUUACCAAUAUAAUCCUAUUAUUAGAAUUUGGGAGAAUGUAUGCCGAGUAGAGAAAAAUAAGAUGUCCAUUUAUCUUUUGUGUGUGUAUAUUUGUAUAUACAAACACACAUGUAUAUUUUUGUGAAUAAUGUAAGGAUAAAAUUGAAACUUAUUUCUCCACCCCUCUGGGUUGUAAUGAUAAACCAUAAAGAUGUAUAUGGAAAUGUCAGGGAUCUAGAAUAGCCGAAACAGUCUUGAAAAAGAACAGGUUUGAAGGAUUCAUACUUCCUGAUUUCAAAAUGUAUUACAAAACUACAGUAAAUAAGAUUGUAUGGUACUGGCAUAAAAAUAGAGAUAUAAAUCAGUGGAAUAAAAUGGAAAGUCCAAAAAUG